rnacentral:misc_RNA from 1 species
AAGUCGUAACAAGGUUUCCGUAGGUGAACCUGCGGAAGGAUCAUUAUCGAGUUUUGAAACGGGUUGUCGCUGGUUCCCUCUCUCUAACGUGUGGGACAUGUGCACGCCUGGCUCAUCCACUCUUCAACCCCUGUGCACCUGUUGUAGGCUCGGUCGGACGGUUGACUUUAUCGUCAGCUUGAAAGCUUGGCCUAUGUUUUCUUACAAACGCUUCAGUCAUAGAAUGUAAAACAUCGCGGAUAACGCAUUUUAAAUACAACUUUCAGCAACGGAUCUCUUGGCUCUC